rnacentral:lncRNA from 1 species
CAAGGGCAUACCCGAGACCUCACUGAACCGCGAGGGAAGAACCGCCAAAAGCGUGGAGGGCGUGGGAGAGGCGAGCGAAAUCGGACGUCGGGAGAGAGCGCGAUUUAGGAAGAAGUGCGCCGAGAGAAUGGAGCCCUGAGAUGAGGCCGUGGAGGGGAGAGAGAAAGGCCGUCGUCGGGAGGGAGCAACGGUCGUCGGAGGAAUCGCUAGACCAGAAGGAGCGUCGGAGGAGGAAGAGAG